CAUUAGACAAAAACAAGAGGCCGUGAAAAGCCACACCCUCGAACGUUUUCUUUUAAUAUUUUUAUAAAGUUAAAGGGUAUAUUUUAAAAUAUCCUCAAAAUAGGUGGGUUUCAAAUGUAAAUUUAUAGAAUAUAAAAUGACUUACUUCUCUUUCUGCCCUACCAAAAGUGAAUGCAGCCGUCCAAUAGCGGUCCAAUGCGGGAGAGCAGAUUCCGUCGUCUAGAAGAGAUUUCCGGCGAGUAGCCAGCGAAUGUUUCAUGCGAUUUCCGGUGGUUUUUAGCGGUGGUGGUGAUAUACCGGCGAUUGUGAAGGUGGUGGUUGGUCGACAUAAGAAAUUUGUUAUUUUUUAUUGAUGAUAAUCACUUUUUACUGAUUAGUUUAUAUAAGAUGUAAUUAUAAUAUGUUUAUUGUUGUAUUAAUGUUAAUAGUUGGUGGUUGGUAAAGUGAUUUUUCUUGGAUUAACGAAAAUACAUAUUCCAAUACUUAUAUUUUACUGAAAAAGCUGAAAUCUUAAGAGUCAAA